rnacentral:rRNA from 1 species
AGUAGUUUGAUCAUGGCUCAGAAGACGCUGGCGGCAUGCCUAACACAUGCAAGUCGAACGAAGCCUUCGGGCUUAGUGGCGCACGGGUGCGCAACACGUGGGAAUCUGCCCUUCGGUUCGGAAUAACAGUUAGAAAUGACUGCUAAUACCGGAUGAUGACGAAAGUCCAAAGAUUUAUCGCCGAAGGAUGAGCCCGCGUAGGAUUAGGUAGUUGGUAGGGUAAUGGCCUACCAAGCCGACGAUCCUUAGCUGGUCUGAGAGGAUGAUCAGCCACACUGGGACUGAGACACGGCCCAGACUCCUACGGGAGGCAGCAGUGGGGAAUAUUGGACAAUGGGCGAAAGCCUGAUCCAGCAAUGCCGCGUGAGUGAUGAAGGCCUUAGGGUUGUAAAGCUCUUUUACCAGGGAUGAUAAUGACAGUACCUGGAGAAUAAGCUCCGGCUAACUCCGUG